AUUCCUUAAUGCGUUGGAAACUGUCAAAAUAGAGUACUGGAGAGGUGUGCGGAACUACAAGUGUAGAGGUGAAAUUCGUAGAUAUUUGUAGGAAUGCCGAUGGAGAAGUCAGCCCACUGGACAGAUACUGACGCUGAAGCGCGAAAGCGUGGGUAGCAAA
rnacentral:rRNA from 1 species